rnacentral:antisense_RNA from 1 species
AUCAAUGAUGCGGGCUGAACGCGGCUGCCUCCGGGCAGGCCGGUUUCCUUCGUGCCGGUACGCCAUCCGCGUUUAGUCCCAUCUCCUUA